rnacentral:rRNA from 1 species
AACGCUGGCGGCAGGCCUAACACAUGCAAGUCGAACGGUAACAGGAAGCAGCUUGCUGCUUYGCUGACGAGUGGCGGACGGGUGAGUAAUGUCUGGGAAACUGCCUGAUGGAGGGGGAUAACUACUGGAAACGGUGGCUAAUACCGCAUAACGUCGCAAGACCAAAGAGGGGGACCUUCGGGCCUCUUGCCAUCAGAUGUGCCCAGAUGGGAUUAGCUWGUUGGUGAGGUAACGGCUCACCAAGGCGACGAUCCCUAGCUGGUCUGAGAGGAUGACCAGCCACACUGGAACUGAGACACGGUCCAGACUCCUACGGGAGGCAGCAGUGGGGAAUAUUGCACAAUGGGCGCAAGCCUGAUGCAGCCAUGCCGCGUGUAUGAAGAAGGCCUUCGGGUUGUAAAGUACUUUCAGCGGGGAGGAAGGUGUUGUGGUUAAUAACCGCAGCAAUUGACGUUACCCGCAGAAGAAGCACCGGCUAACUCCGU